rnacentral:rRNA from 1 species
AGAGUUUGAUCCUGGCUCAGAUUGAACGCUGGCGGCAUGCCUUACACAUGCAAGUCGAACGGCAGCACGGGGGCAACCCUGGUGGCGAGUGGCGAACGGGUGAGUAACAUAUCGGAACAUACCCUAGAGUGGGGGAUAACGUAGCGAAAGUUACGCUAAUACCGCAUACGAUCUAAGGAUGAAAGUGGGGGAUCUUCGGACCUCAUGCUCAUGGAGUGGCCGAUAUCUGAUUAGCUAGUUGGUGAGGUAAAGGCUCACCAAGGCGACGAUCAGUAGCUGGUUUGAGAGAACGACCAGCCACACUGGAACUGAGACACGGUCCAGACUCCUACGGGAGGCAGCAGUGGGGAAUUUUGGACAAUGGGGGCAACCCUGAUCCAGCAAUGCCGCGUGAGUGAAGAAGGCCUUCGGGUUGUAAAGCUCUUUUGUCAGGGAAGAAACGGUGAGUUCUAAUACAGCUUGCUAAUGACGGUACCUGAAGAAUAAGCACCGGCUAACUACGUGCCAGCAGCCGCGGUAAUACGUAGGGUGCAAGCGUUAAUCGGAAUUACUGGGCGUAAAGCGUGCGCAGGCGGUUAUAUAAGUCAGAUGUGAAAUCCCUGGGCUCAACCUAGGAACUGCAUUUGAGACUGUAUGGCUAGAGUGUGUCAGAGGGGGGUAGAAUUCCACGUGUAGCAGUGAAAUGCGUAGAGAUGUGGAGGAAUACCGAUGGCGAAGGCAGCCCCCUGGGAUAACACUGACGCUCAUGCACGAAAGCGUGGGGAGCAAACAGGAUUAGAUACCCUGGUAGUCCACGCCCU